UGUUGAAACAUCGGUUCCCGUACGAUCACCGAAGUUAAGCAACGUUGAACCAAGUCAGUUUCUAGAUGGGCGACCGCCUGAGAAUACCAGGUACUGUAAG